CUAAAGGGAUGGGAGGAAGAUCAGAGGAGGAGAAAGGAAGAGCUCUGAGAAUUAAAAGGCCCCUGGAUAAAGUAACUGCACAAUGAGCCAGCCCACCUUUCCAUCCUUCUAAUGUACAACUGAACAGGCCGCAAGCAAAACAUGGUGGGACCCUUGCAAGGCAGUGGUGCAGUCUCUCCAAGUUGCUGGAGGCUUCAGAUGUGAAUUUGCAAAAAACCACCAACCCAACAACUUGCCCAAAAUUCCUCCCAGGAAGAUCUCUCAUCUUCUGAACCUUUGGGAGGGAACAAGUGAUUUAGGAUCUGAAGGACACCUAAUUCAAUGCUAUCGAAAAUUCUGUAGCUGCCUGUUGUUGGUGCAGAUCUGAAGAUGUGGUGCAUGUGCUUAGAGAGAUUGCACAUCAUGUAUGCUAUGUACUUCAGCUGUCCAGGCAAGCAGCUUCCUCUAAUCCACACCACAAACCCUUACUCUUCAGGGUAAUAAAGCAAGAUGUCCGCAUAGGUGGUGGUGCAUCAUCAAGAAAUUAUCAUCCAGACCUGUGUGCACAGAAAAUAUUUAAGGGAUUUGCAAUGAAAAUAAAGGGAUAAAGACCUCUGAACCCAACUGGGAAGUCCAGCAUGAAGGCAGGGAGCAGAGAUCAGGCACAUGGAAAGAUGUGUGCUCUCCCACCUUGGAGAACAGCAAGUGUCACGUCAGCUCUGUAACAGUGGAGCAGCCUUGCUCUUGAAGGUCAGGCUGUCAAGAGCUGACUUUCUCAAACAGACCAAGAUCUUUUUCAUGAAGUAAGCCAAACUCCUGCAUGAGACCUUUUUUUUUUUUCCCCAGUUUCAGGGGGGAAAAGAGCUAUUUUGAAAUGCUGUUUUGAUUUGGUCUUUGUAAUACAGCAUCCUGCCUUAGUCAACAUUCAGUACACCUAAGUCCCAGCGAGCCCAGUGCUUCUGUAAGUGUGAGGAGCUGUACUAGUUAGUUGUGUUAUAGGAAAAGAAAACUCUGUAAGUCUGUUUCCUUUCGAUGUUAUGACUAUCCCUUGCUGAAUGUUUGUGUGCAGGUAAUUCUGG